ensembl:lncRNA
CCCCCCCCCCCCUCUUUUUUUCCCUGUUAAGUUACCAGUGAGAUUCAUACUAAAUUCCUGCUAAUGGUCCUUUACGAGUUCGGAUGAAUUAAGGGAGUAAUCUGACUUCCUUCUUUUUUUUUCCCCUUUAUCCCAGAAGGAUCUCUCUUCCUUCUGUCCUCCUUAUACCAACAAGAUCAGUUGGAAGGAGUCUGGAGAAGUAAUCUUAGUUUUGUCACUCAUGGAUUCUGAGAGGCAUAAAAGUACUGUACAGCCCUAAGAAGGUCAGUUUGGAACAAAUAAUUACUUCCUUGGCUUGCAGCCUGCUCCCAGGUACUGUGUGUUAUGACAGCAUUUUGUCACGUUCAUCAGAAAUGGAAAAAUACCGCACGGCUAAUCUGUAGGGCUGCCCACAAAGAUGUGUGCGUGUGAGACUGAAAGACCUGCAGCUUCCCAGGAGAGGGACCAUCCAGGUUCAGAAAGGUAGCUGAGGAUUAUGGAAACUUACUGCCUGCUCAACGUGCUGCCACUGCUCACCCUUCCUGUGCAGGCUCAGCCCACAGCACGAGUGUCCGCAGGGCCGGAGAGACCGCUCAGUGCUGUGCUCCCUCUCAACACCUGUAAUUUAAAAGCAGGCAAGCAGCUGAGUACACACUGGAUACGUAAAAGAGCAAUAACAUCCAAAACACAACUGUCCAGUGGGGCGUGUUCCACACUCAGUCCGUCCCUUACCAUAGCAGAUGUCCCAGACGCAAGAGCUUGUACUGUUCCCUGGCCAUAGCUUUUUUUAGGACAGGGCUACAGCACCAAGUACAUGUUCUGUUCAUAACACAGGGCAAUUCUUUAUGGGCUUGCUUUGGGGAGUGUGCCCGGUGCAGAGGAAAUAGGCAGUGUUUGCAGCAGUGCACUGCACUGCCUGGCAGUGUUUCCCGUCAUACUUCGAAGAACCCAGAGCCUGAAAAACUGAAUCAUCAUCCAAAUGCAAGAUUGAUGCUGAAAAUUAGACCUAUUCCAUAUACUUGUUGCUCCCUAACCUUUUGGAGCAGCCAAGGGGAUCAGCGAUAGCUUGAUUUAAAGAUAAGACUGUACCAACAGCUCACCUCUGGUUUUGAGUGUGAAUUGGAGUGGAGAGCACUGGAAAAACGCUGGAAAGUAAUGGCAUCUCAGGAAGCAGCAGCAGCUCUCUGUGGCUGUGAAAGCCACUUGCCAUUUGGAUAAUGUAUUACGCUUACUGUCCUUGUGCCUUCUCUCAACACAACUGCCACAGGAGGUAAUGAAGAGAAGGAUGCUGCAUUGCUGUGAUCGUGGGAGAGAAAAUGAAGGCACAACGAGCUGUUGCUUUUUGCGUGGUAUGAGAAUGAGGCUCAAAGGCGGUUCGAUGCGGAUCUGUCAGGAGAGCAUCGCAGAAGUCUUCAUCCAGCAGCUGCUCUGCUUCUGUGUCAAUUUAUUUGAAAAACAAACAACAAAUUAAAAUAAAUGCCUCGUGCUAUUC